GUAUUAAUUUGAUUACAUCAUGAUGCCCGAGACAUCCACUUAGUCAUUAACAUAGAUCAAAGUGCGAAAACAAAACGUAGCAAUACACGGCCUUCACAGGCAGCCGACUGGGGUUUGCCGCUAACCCACGCCUAGAACUUGUCAUAAUCUUGGAACUCCUAAAAAUCCUCCACCACGACUUCAUCUUAUCCUGAGCAGUGGUUGCAAUGCGGACAACCUGGUGGGUUUGGUGUUGUAAAGCAAGGGUGAGUACACAUCAACAUACUCAGCAAUUGUCCCAUUUGGUUGAGGUGGACUGGCUUUAUAUGAGGUUAGGAUCAAAGCAGUUGCUUUUAGUUGGUCAGGUAAUUAUUACUAGUAGAGAGUCAGGUUUUAGCAUUAAACCCAAGUUAUUAGCUCAAAAGUACUCCUUCCAAACGGAAAGAAUACCUGAAACCAUAAUAAUAGUCAUAACUAUCAAAACCAUAAUUAACCUUAUCAUCAUAUGUGAUCAUAGUAUCUCUAAUCAAAGGAGCUCCCAAGGCCGCUCAUAAUCAUGAGCACGGCCGAUAUAUCAGUUUUAUAACACUCUGCAGAGGCUGCACACUUUACCCAUGAGCUGUGAUUCCUUUUUGCCUAGGGCCGAUCAAGCCCUUAAACACUAGCAAGGUGAGUAGGCAAGGUUUCACUUCGUAGCCUUUACGAAGAUUCAUCGAGAUGCAGUCGCCUGUUAGGUUUCCUAAAUGUACUGCACUCCUCCCCAAUGGGAAACCCAUCCUCGGCAGAGCGAGCCGCAUACAUCGAGCCCUAUUAACGGCAUGGCAGCGAAGCAAACUACACCUCAGUUCCUCUAAUUAAUUAGCUAAGGGUGUCCCAUUCCACCCUCAUGGUUGUACUGUUAUCCCGGGUGGUCAUCCAACGAACCAGUCAUUACGGAGAGGCACUCGAGAAACCGCUCGAGCCCCCUUAAGUAUCAUAAUGCCAUCAUCAUAUCCAGAAGUAAGCAUCAUAUCAUAAAUAAUCUCAUGUUCAUUAAUUAUAGUAAAGCGCUAGCAUAGAGCUAAUCCAAAAAUAAUCCAACCCAAAUAGGUGAACAAGGACAAGAUAAACAAAUACGUACAAAUUAUGUAAACGCGGGGGAUGAAUUAUAAAAUGAGUAGGACAUAAGUAGGUCAGAGGACACUUGCCUUCACCAACCAGCUGCUGCUUAGGGUCUUCGCCUGCAACUUCCUCGGACUCCGCAAACGGACCAUUAU
rnacentral:lncRNA from 1 species